UGGGCGUCGGCGCAGUAGCGCGCGUGGGCUCGGAAGAGCGCGUCCUUCUCGUCGCGCAGGGACGCGCGCAGCGUGACCUGCUGCCCCGGGGCCAGGCCGCGCACAACCAUGCGCACCGGCUCGUCCCAGCGGCAGCGGCCCGCAGGCUCCAGCGUCACCGUCGCCGCCAUGCGGAUCCCAGCGGAGAAGGGGCGGCCCGGCGGAGUCAAGGGCAGGGCCUGGCGUCUCUCCACCUCCCUGGGGGGCGGUCGCAGUUGGAACGUUUGCGCUACUCCCUUUGGGCGGCCGAAGGGACACUUGCUAAACCGAUUUGUGAGGUCUCCUGGAGUUUGUGCGAUCCACUACUGCCUGCCUGGAAGAGUAUCUGCUAAAAUAAGAGUUUUAUGGUAAUUAUUAAUCCUGCGGUCCAAUAUGGCGAGUGUCGAAAUAGAAGUACAAAGAUUGCUGACAGCUAAAGGAUUGGGAAAGAUACCGGGCAGUUCCAAGAAGCUGGAGUAUUGUUGACUUAAAAAAAUGCACAGCGUGAAGAGUUGUUUCAACUCAGAGGGUGGAACCAAGAGCUACAGAGAACAACUCACAGAGAGUAAACUGAGCACCAAUGGAAGAAUUGGCAACAUGUUCUCAGCUGGAUUUCAGAAUGGCUAGGGGCCAGUGACUGUCGUGUGCCUCCCAUAUUCCCCAUUUUUGAACAGGAAUAUCUUUCACAGAUCUUCAGAUUGAGAAGAAAGAUACUCAAGGAGCUAUACCCAAGGGAUUAUACCUAAGGAACUUCAUCUGCACCUGGACCUGAUAUAAAUGAUACAAUCUUGGACUUUGAGCCUGAGCAUGAUGCUGUAAGGACACAGGAAGAAGGCAGCCAUCUAUAAGCCAGGAAGAGGCCCCACCAGGAACUGAAUCUGCCAGAACCUUGAUCUUGGACUUCCCAGCCUCCAGAACUGUGAGAAAUAAAUGUCUGUUGUUUAAGCCA